UGGAGUUCAGAAGUGUGCUCUUCUCUUCUGUUUGUUUUAUACUUUAUGCCAGCUGGUUUGUCAAAAACACAAACUGGAAUGGUUUCACACAGCAUAUUCAUAACCCACCUUUUUUGCCCUUUUCAGUCACCAUAAUUUCUAAUUUACUCAGACUGACACCUGGAAAAUAUUAGAACGGGCACCUCAGGUGUAGUGUUCCCUGUCCUCCAGACGUAUUUUGAAAGUACAGUUUUUGCUUUUUGCCACUGGGGAGGAAUCUCCACUUUCUCCACAGGUUCUCUCAGAACUAGUAGUUCUAAGUUCUGGUUUAGGUUCUGCCAAUUCCUUCUGGGUCUACAUUACAUGCACUGAUGCUCACAGCUUUUUAGUGUAUAUUAUUGUAUCUAACUGGUUUAAAAAAAAAAGCACUGUACAUUAGCUGUAAACAGCAUAACAGUAUCAAUGCUACAAUGCUUCUUCUUUUUUACUUAAGAACAAACACUUCUUGGUAGAGCAGCACUGUAGCCUAACUGGUUAAUAUACAUGUAAGAGUAGGACACUUAAGAAUCUUUGCAUGUGUUCUAACUGAAAAUCCUUUUUUGUUCUGUAUUUCAUAUCUAGUAUUAGCAGUUUUCUUUUUUAAAAGAAACAAGAUUGUACUUGGUUAAGAGUAGACUAGGGUAUCUUUAGAUUUAAAAAUGCUAGUAGCAUCACUGAUCCUGUUGAAUGUGAACCACUUGUUUUAAAAUGUUCCGACUUUUCUGAGAAACUGUAGCUGCUUCCUGAACACGGGAAUGAAAUGAGAGACCACUUUUUCAUUUAGCAAUUAGGUAGAUUGAGAGAAUGUACACAUUCAGUAUUUCAGUGUUGUUUAGGCUGCAGUUUGAAAGACAUGGCAGAUCAAAAUAUCUCACUAAGAAUGCUGAAUACCCAGUUCAGGUUUUGGUCAUCUCAGGGAGAGACUUCUGGCUGGAGUAAAGCCACAUGCCUCAACUAAACCUAGUGAUGUUAUGCUGACUUGCAUUAGCUGAGGAUCUGGCUUUUACUGUUUGAAAGUAUGAAUGUAUUCAAAAUUUUACUUUGUUUUUCAUUAAUGCUACCCUGUUUGCUGUAUACUCUUAUUGUUGUAUGUAAUUCAUUUGUUUAUUUGAAACUUAUUUGCAGAUUUCAGCAUAAAUCACUUUUUUUCUUAAGAGUAAGUGGGAACUAAUAUUGUGAGUUUAUUGCAUUCUGUGUCUUUGAAGUUUACAUCCCUCAAAAGCCAUUUUGUCUGCUACCAACUAUUGUAAUCCUUAGAGUACCUCCAGCCAUCUUCUCUUUAUAGGGUUUUUAUAGUUAAACAGAACGGAUUUUUAUUUUUGUAGCUUGUAACUUCAAUAUGUAUACUAGUAACUUCUAUUUAGUAAUUAGUGAUCAGAGUACUGUAAAAAUGUGACUCUUAAGAGCUGUAACUUUAAAUUAAUAACUACUUAAAUGAAAAUACCAGCAUGUUAAAAAAAAAAAAAAAAAGUUAUUCUUUAGCUUGGAAAUACUGUGAUGCUGUGACUUGGAAUUUGUAUUGAAUGUGUUCAUGCAUAUUCUGAAAUUGCACUAUAGGGGAAAAAAUGAGCUUAAAAUGCAAAUAAUAAAUGAAAAGGUAGAAUUUUUAACAUUUUUUUCAACCAAGGAGGAUUACGUUUGGGAUUUGAUGGUUUCUUGUGGGUAUUUUUGUGUUUUUUUUUUUUUCCUGCAGAGCCCUAAAGCAGGAAUGAUCAUUGCACUUGACAAAACAGUUGUUUCCCUAUGGUGCAGUUUAACACACAUGUAUUACUUAGUGUCCAACCUCAGCAAAAGCCAUUUGCGCCUUUCCCACCUCUCUUCUCAGAAAACAAAAUCCUAGAGCAAAACUGAAUGCUCGUAGUCGUAAAGUACAUGAGAUCUUACUUGCAAAAAAAAUAGCCAGGCAGCAUAAUAUUGAACCUCCAAUGCAAAUUUUUAAAGACAAAAGUUGUUACAUUUUUUCUUUACAUCAUGAUGCUUUCAAAUACAAAAUUGUUUUUUCUUUGUUUAAAAGAAGGCAGGUAGAAAUGGGAAGAUAAGGAGGUAUUCAUGUACAACUCCUACUCACAAAAGCUGGGAAAUGUCCUUUAUUUGCUGUGUAGGCACACAGCAAGUGUGAUUCUAGAACUCUGCAUAAAGCUCUGCUUUGUUUGUGCUCUUACUGGCUUAAUCCCUUAUUUCUGAAGCAGGUGAUACUAGCAUUGACAUGUGAAAUAGUGACAGGUUUACUCAAAUUAUUACAUGUGGGUGAUAUGUAUUAUUUGAGUAAUUGGGCCAAGUUUUGUCUGUAGGCUCCAUCAGGUUCUGAGGUGGCACUCCACCUUAACACAAGUGAAACUGAAGAAAACGUUUGUGUUUAGUCAAUAGUAUUGUGGCCUAUUUCUUGUGACUUAAGCUCCCAGAAGGCUCUUUUGAGAAACAUCUGCUCUGUAUUCUUCAUAGAAGUUUGCAACUAUAGAUUUUUCACAGUACUGACUCUGUUACUAAAUUUCCUAUUGCAUCUUUUUGUUGUUGUUAUUUGUACUGUAUUUCUCUGUAGACUGAAGUGUGUGGAUUAAAGUAUUUAAACUCAGUUUUUCCUGUUCCUCACUAUGCACAGAAGCAAAUGUGAGUUUUUGAAUCCAUAACAACCUAGUGAUGAAGACUGCUGCCUGGCUUUAGGGGGCUGGAGUAUGAUAAGCUUCUUUCAGUUUCUACCUUUCCCUUUAUGCUUGUUCAGCAAGCCUCCCCAUUACAGGUAAUAAACUGAAACAUUCAGCACAUAAAUGGCCCGAAGCAUUAAAAUUCUGUCUGGUGCAAUGCUCUGGGCUGCAGAGCUGGACCAGCAGUUUCUUAUGUAGCAUGCAUGCUACAUCUUUUUAAUAAACUAUUACAUGUGUAUAUGGGGCAUCCUUCCUGGGUAAGCAUUCACAAGUUUUUAUAAUGGCUAGCAGUUUCUUGCUUGGAUCUUACAAAACAUUUUAUCACUUAAAAGGUUCUGUAGCUUUUUUCAAAUGGGUUAAAAUAGGGUUGAAGGAGAUGGGUUUUGUACUGUGUGGAGGUAUUCACCUGAGGGGAAAAGCUGAGUUCGUAUGGCUUUAUAAUAGAUACUUUGUUUAAAAUCAUUAAAAAAACAGACUUCAGUAGUGAGAUGAAAUGUCUUGAUUGUUCUAUAUUACCUGUGUUGUUAAUUAUUAGGGAUGUUAGAACAGUGUGUGCUUUUUAUUUAGCCAAAGGGGAAGACAGGUCUACAAAUGUAUUAUUUAGAAAUUGCUCUUUACAGAUAAGGUUUUUAACAGCAGAUGUUUUGGUGUUACGUGGUGUUAACAUAAACUGGAGCAGGAGGAGGGAUGCUGAACACAAGUCGGCAAACCACAUGCAGGGCUUUCCACAGAAAGGGAAAACUGCUGCUGGAAGAAGUUCAGAGAUCAAGUGGCUCAAUGCUUUUUCCUGAUGGCAGCAGAUGGGUUAGUUUGAGCCUUUGGCAGUGAAUAAAUCCUCCUGGGGGGGCUCUUUAUCAUGGUGUCAGUUCUGUUCCCCAAGUCCUCUCCUCCGUUCCCUGAUCUAAUUUGCACAAAAGAGAGAAUGGGCUCUGGCCUCUUAGCUCCCAUAUUAUGCCACAAUCAAACCUUUUAAAGACUGUUUGUGUGUUGUUUCCCCUUCAGUAUUGGGUCAAAGCAUAGAUAGCAGGUUUUUCUCUUAUGUGGGUAAGACAAUAGUUUCACAGAGCACUGAGGAUCAAUGACACUAAUGUUAUUACAAGAUCUAGGUUUAAUGCAUUUUUAAUGUUUUUAGAACUGCUGGAGUGAACUGUGCAAAGCACCAGCUUGAGCCAGUUUUGCCUGAAGUGUAACAAGUCACACCACAGGAAAAGCCCUAACUGCAGAGCUGUGAAGGCACAAACUCUGCCUGUUUCCUGGUGCGGCUGGGGGCAAUGUGAGAACGUGCUGCUCACCACAAGGUAACAGAUGGCCACGGAGCCCCCGUGACAAUGCUGUGCGGAUCUUUGCCUGUGCCACCCAGCAGCGCUGGAGCCCAUUGUCCCGGCCCUGCUGCAAAAUCCCAAUUCCACGCUGAAGAGCUGCAGAAAGGAGCCUCGGUCUCUCAGACCUGCAAAAGAGCAGCUCCCCGUGUCAUUCAUUGAAAAUAUGGAAAGGGCAAUGCAUAUAGAAAUCUAAUUAUUGGCAGGCCCUGCCUGUCUUUUAGUAUGAUAAUCGCAGGCCCUCACGCUUUCUUGUGCACGGACCCCUGAAAGGUAAUAAUGAAAGCAGAAGUUAAACUAUUGAAUCUCCAUCAAUCAUUCAUUGUUUGCUUUGAUUACAGUGACACGACUUGGGUUUGUUCCUGAACUGCGCUCAGAAGCUGUUAUUGAUGGCAUUAAGAUACUUUAAAGACAAAUACACCCUUGUUCCACCACCGCCACCCCC